CGCUAAGGCGUUGAAGCAGUGUACGUCAGACUUCCAAGAAAAGCUCGCAAUGUCAUAGAUAAAAAAUGCCUGUACCAUAACCGACACAGGUGGGUAGGUAGAGUAUACUAAGGGGCGCGAGAUAACUCUCUCUAAGGAACUCGGCAAAAUGACUCCGUAACUUCGGGAGAAGGAGUGCCUUAUUUAUAAGGUUGCAAUAACAAGAUCCAAGCAACUGUUUAUCAAAAACACAGGUCUCCGCUAAGUCGUAAGACGAUGUAUGGGGGCUGACGCCUGCCCAGUGCCAGAAGGUUAAAGAAGUUGGUUAGUGUAUGCGAAGCUGAUGACUAAAGCCCUGGUGAACGGCGGCCGUAACGAUAACGGUCCUAAGGUAGCGAAAUUCCUUGUCGGGUAAGUUCCGACCCGCACGAAAGGCGUAAUGAUUUGGAUACUGUCUCGGAGAGAGGCUCGGUGAAAUAGACUUGUCUGUGAAGAUGCGGACUACCUGCACCAGGACAGAAAGACCCUAUGAAGCUUUACUGUAACUUGAAAUUGGAAUUGGACUUUGCUUGCGCAGUAUAGGUGGGAAGCGUUGAAGAUAUUCUUGCGGGAGUAUUGGAGCUAUCAGUGAGAUACCACUCUUGUAAUGUUAGAUUUCUAACUUUGAACCAUAAUCUGGUCAAAGAACAGUUUCAGGUGGGCAGUUUGACUGGGGCGGUCGCCUCCCAAAUGGUAACGGAGGCGUACAAAGGUUUCCUCUGAACGGAUAGAAAUCGUAUCUAGAGUGUAAAGGCAUAAGGAAGCUUGACUGUGAGACCUACAAGUCGAGCAGGGACGAAAGUCGGUCUUAGUGAUCUGACGGUACUGAGUGGAAAGGCCGUCACUCAACGGAUAAAAGUUACUCUAGGAUAACAGGCUGAUCUCCCCCAAGAGUUCACAUCGACGGGGAGGUUUGGCACCUCGAUGUCGGCUCAUCGCAUCCUGGGGCGGUAGUACGUCCCAAGGGUUGGGCUGUUCGCCCAUGAAAGCGGUACGCGAGCUGGGUUCAGAACGUCGUGAGACAGUUCGGUCCAUAUCCGGUGUAGGCGUUAGAAUAUUGAGAGGAGCCUUCUUUAGUACGAGAGGACCGAGAAGGACACACCGCUGGUGUACCAGUUAUCGUGCCAACGGUAAACGCUGGGUAGCUAUGUGUGGAGUGGAUAACCGCUGAAAGCAUCUAAGUGGGAAGCCCACCUCAAGAUGAGUAUUCUCAUCACUAUGAGUGAGUAAGGUCACGGUAAGACUAACCGUUUGAUAGGCAUUAAGUGUAAAUGUAGUAAUGCAUGUGCUGAGAUGUCCUAACAGACCGAGGACUU
rnacentral:rRNA from 1 species